ACACUGCCGAGGAGUCCUAUAAUAGGACGAAACGGCUGUCCAGUAC
rfam:Schistosoma margrebowiei strain Zambia genome assembly, scaffold: SMRZ_scaffold0003051